rnacentral:rRNA from 1 species
CCUAUUAGCUGGUUGGUGGGGUGGUGGCCUACCAGGGCAGCGGUGGGUAGCCGGCCUGAGAUGGUGGACGGCCACACGGGCACUGAGACGCGGGCCCGACUCCUACGGGAGGCAGCAGGAAGGAAUAUUGGGCAAUGGGCGCAGGCCUGACCCAGCGACACCGCGUGGAGGACUGAAGGCUUUCGGGUUGUAGACUCCUGGCGCGUGUUGGGAGGGUUACUUGUGGUGGUGCCGCAGGUGGUCUGACGAGGGUGCGAGGUGAGGUCAUGGCUAACUCUGUGCCAGCAGCCGCGGUAAUACAGAGAUGGCAACCGUUGUUCGGAAUCACUGGGCUUAAAGAGCACGUAGGCGGAAGUAUAAGUUGAUUGUGAGGUCCCAUGGCUUGCCCAUGGAGUUGCAGUCAAGGCUGUACAUCUUGAGAUCGGAGGGGGAGAGUGGAACUCCUGGUGGAGCGGUGAGGUGCGUUGAUAUCAGGAGGAGCGCCGGUGGCGAGGGCGACUCUCUGGUCCGAACCUGACGCUGAGGUGCGAAAGCUAGGGGGGCAGGCGGGAUUGGAUGCCCCGGUAGUCCUAGCCGUAAACGAUGGGUACUAAGUAGGGGGAUGGUUUGGUUUCUCUGCUGGAGCAAGGGUUUUAAGUACCCCGCCUGGGGAGUAUGGUCGCAAGGCUGAAACUCAAAGGAAUUGACGGGGGCUCGCGCAAGCGGUGGAGCAUGUGGUUUAGUUCGGGGCAGCGCGAGGGGCCUUACCUGGACUUGACAUGGUAGGAUUAGGCUUCUGAAAGGGAGUUGACGCUCUUCGGAGUGGAACUAUCACAGGUGUUGCAUGGCUGUCGUCAGCUCGUGCCGUGAGGUGUUGGGUUAGGUCCCAUAGCGAGCGAAACCUUUAUCCUUAGUUGCCGGCGGGAGAGCCGGGGACUCUGGGGAGGCUGCCCACGUUGAGUGGGAGGAAGGUGGAGACGACGUCGAGUCAUCAUGGCCCUUAUGUCCAGGGCUACACACGUGCUACAAUGGUUGGUGCAAAGGGAAGCAGGACCGAGAGGUGGAGCAGGUCUCCUAGAGCCAAUCUCAGUUCGGAUUGAGGGCUGAGGUUCGCCCUCAUGAAGUUGGAAUCGCUAGUAAUCGUGGGUCGGCUGUACCACGGUGAAUGUGUUCCCGAGCCUUGUACACACCGCCCGUCAAGCCACUGAAGCAGGGGUAGCCUGAAGUCGCUGACCCAACCCUGAGACUUUGUCGAAGGGAGGGAGGUGCCCAAGGAAGCUUCUGUGACAGGGACUAAGUCGUAACAAGGU